rnacentral:rRNA from 1 species
ACGAGCGGCUACGGCCGCGAAGUGGAUGAUGUCAAGCUUCCAAGAAAAGCCCUAUACCCGUUAAGGCAUGAUGGCCUGUACCCGAAACCGACACAGGUGGGGUGGUAGAGAAUACCGAGGGGCGCGAGGUAACUCUCUCUAAGGAACUCGGCAAAAUGGCCCCGUAACUUCGGGAGAAGGGGUGCCACCGCGAGGUGGUCGCAGUGAACAGGCCCAGGCGACUGUUUACCAAAAACACAGGUCUCCGCUAAGUCGCAAGACGAUGUAUGGGGGCUGACGCCUGCCCAGUGCCGGAAGGUUAAGGAAGCUGGUCAGCGCAAGCGAAGCUGGCGACUGAAGCCCCGGUGAACGGCGGCCGUAACCAUAACGGUCCUAAGGUAGCGAAAUUCCUUGUCGGGUAAGUUCCGACCCGCACGAAAGGCGUAACGAUCUGGGCGCUGUCUCGGAGAGAGGCUCGGCGAAAUAGAAUUGUCUGUGAAGAUGCGGACUACGUGCACCCGGACAGAAAGACCCUAUGAAGCUUUACUGUAGCUUGGUAUUGUGCUCGGGCUCGGAAUGCGCAGGAUAGGUGGGAGGCUUUGAUCCAUUGCUUGCGGGUGAUGGUGAGUCACUGGUGAGAUACCACUCUUUCCGAGCUAGAGUUCUAACAGCAACCCGUUAUCCGGGUGCUGGACAGUAUCAGGUGGGCAGUUUGACUGGGGCGGUCGCCUCCUAAAAGGUAACGGAGGCGCGCAAGGUCUGCUCAGGCCGGUUGGAAAUCAGCCGACGAGUGUAAAAGCAGAAGCAGGCUUGACUGUGAGACCUACAAGUCGAACAGGGAGGAAACUCGGCUUUAGUGAUCCGACGGUUCUGCGUGGAAGGGCCGUCGCUCAACGGAUAAAAGUUACUCUAGGAUAACAGGCUGAUCUCCCCCAAGAGUUCACAUCGACGGGGAGGUUUGGCACCUCGAUGUCGGCUCAUCGCAACCUGGGGCUGAAGUCGUCCCAAGGGUUGGGCUGUUCGCCCAUUAAAGCGGUACGCGAGCUGGGUUCAGAACGUCGUGAGACAGUUCGGUCCAUAUCCGGUGCACGCGCAGGAAUAUUGAGAGGAUUUCUCCCUAGUACGAGAGGACCGGGAGGAACGCACCUCUGGUGUGCCAGUUAUCGUGCCAACGGUAAACGCUGGGUAGCCAUGUGCGGAGUGGAUAACCGCUGAAAGCAUCUAAGUGGGAAGCCCACCUCAAGAUGAGUAUUCCCAUGACAUAAGCCAGUAAGGUCACGGGAAGAACACCCGUUGAUAGGCUCUACGUGGAAGCGCAGUGAUGUGUGAAGCGGAGGAGUACUAAUAGACCGAGGGCUU